GAAUUAUUAGUGCCUCUAAAUCUCUAAUGUACAAACAUUGUAAUCUGUUACUUAAUACCAUAAAGAAACUGUUGAUAGCACAUAUAUUAAAUGACUAUUAAUCAAAUGAACUUAAUUUUCGACUAUUAUAUAGCAUAUUUCCCCCAAUAUUGAGGGAAUAAUUUCUCGUAUUUAUUUUAUAAUAAGCCAAUAUUGCCCAACUGUGAAGUAAAUAUUGCCUGACUGUGAAGUAAAUAUUGCCCGACUGGCCUAGUCUGCCCAACAAUUGGGCCACGCCCUGUACGCCUAUGGCCAGACCUACAGGUAGACCCCCAACCAGAUCGGUCACAAUUUCUCUUGCUCCAAAAUUUCCCCUCCCCAUGUACAAGGAUUGACAAUUUGACAGCUUGAUUAGAUUUGAAAAAAAAUAUGUUAUAUUGGGUCAUUCCAGAAAACACCCAUACCACCCUGACAAAGGAAAUUGAAAGUUAAUCCCUCCUACCCCUUUGGAUGUCCUAAUACAUUUACUAUUAUCAGAAACAAUUUUUCCCCCUCCCCCUCCAGACGGCAGAAAUUUCCUCUGUGGGGGGAGUGUGGAUCUUUUCUGGAACAACCCAUUUGAGAAAUGCCUUUGCACAAAUUUUAAAUUUUCUUACAAACACAACUCAUCACUAUGUCAGAAUACUGUUCUAAGUAAUUGCAACUAAAAUCCAGAGGUUUAAAAGGCUCAAG